GCCAGCAGUCAAAGCAUCGUUUCUCGCUCACGCGAGUCGGCAUUGCACAGCAAUCAGCGACACCAUGCG
rnacentral:snoRNA from 1 species